rnacentral:RNase_P_RNA from 16 species
CAAAAAUUAUAUGAGGAAAGUCCGAACUUCCAUAUAAAAACGUUAGAGAAAAUCUAGCCAGGAAAACCUGAGAGAAAGGAAAGCAGAAAAGA